rnacentral:rRNA from 1 species
AACGAACGCUGGCGGCAGGCCUAACACAUGCAAGUCGAGCGAGAUCUUCGGGUCUAGCGGCGGACGGGUGAGUAACGCGUGGGAAUAUGCCCUUCUCUGCGGAAUAGCCUCGGGAAACUGAGCGUAAUACCGCAUACGCCCUUUGGGGGAAAGAUUUAUCGGAGAAGGAUUAGCCCGCGUUGGAUUAGGUAGUUGGUGGGGUAACGGCCUACCAAGCCGACGAUCCAUAGCUGGUUUGAGAGGAUGAUCAGCCACACUGGGACUGAGACACGGCCCAGACUCCUACGGGAGGGAGCAGUGGGGAAUCUUAGACAAUGGGGGCAACCCUGAUCUAGCCAUGCCGCGUGAGUGAUGAAGGCCUUAGGGUUGUAAAGCUCUUUCAGCUGGGAAGAUAAUGACGGUACCAGCAGAAGAAGCCCCGGCUAACUCCGUG